UCAAGUUAUUAAGGGUGCAGGGCGGAUGCCUUGGCACUAGGAGCCGAUGAAGGACGUGAUAAGCUGCGAUAAGCUUCGGGGAGUUGCACGUAAACUUUGAUCCGAAGAUUUCCGAAUGAGGAAACUCACUUAGAGUAAUGUCUAAGUAUCAUUAAGUGAAUACAUAGCUUAAUGAGGGGAACUCAGGGAACUGAAACAUCUAAGUACCUGAAGGAAGAGAAAGAAAUUCGAUUCCGUAAGUAGCGGCGAGCGAACGCGGAUUAGCCCAAACCAAUAAAGUUUUCUUUAUUGGGGUUGCGGACAUAUCAUAACGAAGAGGUAUCGUAAUUGAAGAGGUUUGGAAAGACCCACCACAGAAGGUAAUAGUCCUGUAUGUUAAACGAGAAGACUUCAGAUAUGAUCCAGAGUACCACGGGACACGUGAAACCCUGUGGGAAGCAGGAGGGACCACCCUCCAAGGCUAAAUACUACCUAGUGACCGAUAGCGUAUAGUACCGUGAGGGAAAGGUGAAAAGAACCCCGGGAGGGGAGUGAAAUAGAACCUGAAACCCUGCACUUACAAGCUGUGGAAGCACAUUUCUUGUGUGACCGCGUACUUUUUGUAGAACGGGCCAACGAGUUACGUUAAGUAGCAAGGUUAAGCACUUAAGGUGUGGAGCCGUAGCGAAAGCGAGUUUUAACUGAGCGUUCAGUUACUUGACGUAGACCCGAAACCGGGCGACCUACCCAUGAGCAGGAUGAAGCGAAAGUAAAAUUUCGUGGAGGUCCGAACCCACGAGCGUUGAAAAGCUCGGGGAUGACUUGUGGGUAGCGGUGAAAUUCCAAUCGAGCCCGGAGAUAGCUGGUUCUCCCCGAAAUAGCUUUAGGGCUAGCCUCAAGGUGAGAGAUACGGAGGUAGAGCACUGAAUGUCCUAGGGGGUAUUGCACCUACCGAAGACUAUCAAACUCCGAAUGCCGUCAUCUUAUACUUGGGAGUCAGACUGUGGGUGAUAAGAUUCAUAGUCGAAAGGGCAACAGCCCAGAUCGUCAGCUAAGGUCCCUAAAUGUAAGUUAAGUGGUAAAGGAUGUGGGAUUGCACAGACAACCAGGAUGUUGGCUUAGAAGCAGCCACUCAUUCAAAGAGUGCGUAAUAGCUCACUGGUCGAGUGAUCCUGCGCCGAAGAUUUCCGGGGCUAAAACUUACUACCGAAGCUACGGCAUCAGUAAUGAUGGGUAGGGGAGCUUCCCAUACGGGUUGAAGCAUGACCGUAAGGACAUGUGGACAGUAUGGGAGUGAGAAUGUUGGCAUGAGUAGCGAGAUGUGGGUGAGAAUCCCACAGGCCGUAAACCCAAGGUUUCCAGGGGAAGGUUCGUCCGCCCUGGGUUAGUCGGGACCUAAGCUGAGGCCGAAAGGCGUAGGUGAUGGACAACAGGUUGAUAUUCCUGUACUACCGAUAACCGUUUGAGAGAAGGGAUGACACAGUAGGAUAAGCUAAGCACACUGUUGGUUAUGUGUGCCCAAGCAUUGAGGCAGUCAAAGUAGGCAAAUCCGCUUUGAUAAUGCUGGGAUGUGAUGGGGAGCGAAAUUUAGUAGCGAAGUAGCUGAUUUCACACUGUCAAGAAAAGUCUCUAUCGAGGUUAAAGGUACCCGUACCGCAAACCGACACAGGUGGGUGAGGAGAGUAUCCUAAGGCCAGCGAGAGAACUGUUGUUAAGGAACUCGGCAAAAUGACCCCGUAACUUAGGGAUAAGGGGUGCCACCAUCAGGUGGCCGCAGAGAAUAGGCCCAAGCGACUGUUUACCAAAAACAUAGGUUUCUGCUAAGUCGCAAGACGAUGUAUAGGAGCUGACGCCUGCCCGGUGCUGGAAGGUUAAGGGGAUCUGUUAGAGCAAUCGAAGCAGUGAACUUAAGCCCCAGUAAACGGCGGCCGUAACUAUAACGGUCCUAAGGUAGCGAAAUUCCUUGUCGGGUAAGUUCCGACCCGCACGAAAGGCGUAACGAUUUGGGCACUGUCUCAACAACAGACUCGGUGAAAUUGUAAUUCCGGUGAAGAUGCCGGAUACCUGCGACAGGACGGAAAGACCCCAUGGAGCUUUACUGUAGCUUGACAUUGGGUCUUGGUACUACAUGUACAGGAUAGGUGGGAGGCUUUGAAACCAGGACGCCAGUUUUGGCGGAGCCAUCCUUGGGAUACCACCCUUGUAGUACUGGGACUCUAACCAUAGGCCAUGAAUCUGGUCUUGGGACACUGUCAGGUGGGCAGUUUGACUGGGGCGGUCGCCUCCCAAAAGGUAACGGAGGCGCUCAAAGGUUCUCUCAGUACGGUCGGAAAUCGUACGUAGAGUGUAAAGGCAAAAGAGAGCUUGAUUGCAAGACAUACAGGUCGAGCAAGGAUGAAAAUCGGACUUAGUGAUCCGGUGGUUCUGCGUGGAAGGGCCAUCGCUCAACGGAUAAAAGCUACCCUGGGGAUAACAGGCUUAUCUCCCCCAAGAGUCCACAUCGACGGGGAGGUUUGGCACCUCGAUGUCGGCUCAUCACAUCCUGGGGCUGUAGUAGGUCCCAAGGGUUGGGCUGUUCGCCCAUUAAAGUGGUACGCGAGCUGGGUUCAGAACGUCGUGAGACAGUUCGGUCCCUAUCCGUCGCAGGCGUAGGAAAUUUGAGAAGACCUGUCCUUAGUACGAGAGGACCGGGAUGGACGUACCUCUGGUGUACCAGUUGUUCUGCCAAGGGCAUGGCUGGGUAGCUAUGUACGGAAUGGAUAAGCGCUGAAAGCAUCUAAGCGCGAAGCCAACUUCAAGAUAAGAUUUCCCACCGUAAGGGUAAGACCCCAGAAAGACUAUCUGGUUGAUAGGUCGAAGGUGUAAGUGCAGCAAUGUAUUUAGCUUAUCGAUACUAAUAGGUCGAGGACUUGACCAA
rnacentral:rRNA from 1 species